rnacentral:rRNA from 1 species
UACAGAGGUCCCGAGCGUUGUUCGGAUUCACUGGGCGUAAAGGGUGCGUAGGUGGCAUGGUAAGUUUGAUGUGAAAGCUCAGGGCUUAACCCUGAAAUGGCAUUGAAUACUACUGUGCUGGAGGUUUGGAGGGGGGACUGGAAUUCUUGGUGUAGCGGUGAAAUGCGCAGAUAUCAGGAGGAACACCGGUGGCGAAGGCGGGUCUCUGGGCCGAUACUGACGCUGAGGAGCGAAAGCGUGGGGAGCGAACAGG